rnacentral:rRNA from 1 species
AGAAUCAACGCUGGCGGCGUGCCUAACACAUGCAAGUCGCACGAGAAAGGGUAGGCAAUACCUGAGUACAGUGGCGCACGGGUGAGUAACACGUGAAUCAUCUACCUCCGAGUGGGGAAUAACUGAGAGAAAUCUUAGCUAAUACCGCAUAAUACCCACGGGUCAAAGCAGCAAUGCGCUUGGAGAGGAGUUCGCGGCAGAUUAGUUAGUUGGCGGGGUAAUGGCCCACCAAGACGAUGAUCUGUA